rnacentral:rRNA from 1 species
AACGAACGCUGGCGGCAGGCUUAACACAUGCAAGUCGAACGCAUCCUUCGGGGUGAGUGGCAGACGGGUGAGUAACGCGUGGGAACGUGCCCUUCAGUUCGGGAUAACCCAGGGAAACUUGGGCUAAUACCGGAUACGUGCGAGAGCAGAAAGAUUUAUCGCUGAAGGAUCGGCCCGCGUCUGAUUAGCUAGCUGGUGGGGUAAUGGCCCACCAAGGCGACGAUCAGUAGCUGGUCUGAGAGGAUGAUCAGCCACAUUGGGACUGAGACACGGGUCAAAGUCCGACGGGAGGCGGCAGUGGGGAAUAUUGGACAAUGGGCGCAAGCCUGAUCCAGCCAUGGCGGGUGAGUGAUGAAGGCCUUAGGGUUGUAAAGCUCUUUCGUCCGGAACGAUAAUGACGGUACCGGAAGAAGAAGCCCCGGCUAACUUCGUGCCAGCCGCCGCCGUAA